AUCGCUUCUCGGCCUUUUGGCUAGGAUCAAGUGUAGUAUCCAAAUGAGUUGAAAACUCAUGUUCACACAGAAACCUUC
rnacentral:snRNA from 1 species